UACGUAGGGGCAAGCGUUGUCCGGAUUUAUUGGGCGUAAAGAGCGUGUAGGCGGCCAAGCAGGUCCGCUGUGAAAACUCGAGGCUCAACCUCGAGACGUCGGUGGAAACCGUUUGGCUAGAGUCCGGAAGAGGAGAGUGGAAUUCCCGGUGUAGCGGUGAAAUGCGCAGAUAUCGGGAAGAACACCCGUGGCGAAGGCGGCUCUCUGGGACGGUACUGACGCUGAGACGCGAAAAGCGUGGGGAGCGAACAGG
rnacentral:rRNA from 1 species